GGGACGUACCCCAAGAGCACCCAGACAGCGGCACAAAGGCCUUAUCAGCCAGACCCGUGGAGAAAGUCACAGUUCCAGGUCCGCGGGCUUUGCCGACUUCCUGGGACAAAGGCCGGCUGCGGUGGGACGGAGGCCUGGGUGGCUCCCGGCCUCUGGGGUGUUGUAAACAGCGCGUGGACAGAGCCGAGACUAUAACACGAUUCCCGAGGCCCCUUCAAAGUUCUCGACGUGGGCUGGGACUCGGCUCCC